AAAAGCUCAAAUUUGAAAUCUGGCCCUAGCGGUCCGAGUUGUAAUUUGCAGAGGAUGCUUUUGGUGCGGUGCCUUCCGAGUUCCCUGGAACGGGACGCCAUAGAGGGUGAGAGCCCCGUACGGUUGGACACCUAGCCUCUAUAUAGCUCCUUCGACGAGUCGAGUAGUUUGGGAAUGCUGCUCUAAAUGGGAGGUAAAUUUCUUCUAAAGCUAAAUACCGGCCAGAGACCGAUAGCGCACAAGUAGAGUGAUCGAAAGAUGAAAAGCACUUUGAAAAGAGGGUUAAAUAGCACGUGAAAUUGUUGAAAGGGAAGCGUUUGCGACCAGACCUUCUCCAGGGGGAUCAACUGCUGUUCUCAGCGGUGCACUCCCCCUGGUUUAGGCCAGCAUCGGUUCUCUUAGGGGGAUAAAGGCCUGGGGAACGUAGCUCUUUAGGGAGUGUUAUAGCCCCUAGCGUAAUACCCUUCAGGGGACCGAGGACCGCGCUUCGGCAAGGAUGCUGGCGUAAUGGUCGUCAACGACCCGUCUUGAAACACGGACCAAGGAGUCGAACAUUUGUGCGAGUGUUUGGGUGUUAAACCCUCACGCGUAAUGAAAGUGAACGGAGGUGAGAGCCUUUAGGGUGCAUCAUCGACCGAUCCUGAUGUCUUCGGAUGGAUUUGAGUAAGAGCAUAACUGUUCGGACCCGAAAGAUGGUGAACUAUGCGUGGAUAGGGUGAAGCCAGAGGAAACUCUGGUGGAGGCUCGCAGCGGUUCUGACGUGCAAAUCGAUCGUCAAAUCUGCGCAUGGGGGCGAAAGACUUAUCGAACCAUCUAGUAGCUGGUUACCGCCGAAGUUUCCCUCAGGAUAGCAGUGUUGUCUUCAGUUUUAUGAGGUAAAGCGAAUGAUUAGGGACUCGGGGGCGCUAUAUUGCCUUCAUCCAUUCUCAAACUUUAAAUAUGUAAGAAGCCCUUGUUACUUAGUUGAACGUGGGCAUUCGAAUGUACCAACACUAGUGGGCCAUUUUUGGUAAGCAGAACUGGCGAUGCGGGAUGAACCGAACGCGGGGUUAAGGUGCCAGAGUGGACGCUCAUCAGACACCACAAAAGGUGUUAGUACAUCUUGACAGCAGGACGGUGGCCAUGGAAGUCGGAAUCCGCUAAGGACUGUGUAACAACUCACCUGCCGAAUGUACUAGCCCUGAAAAUGGAUGGCGCUCAAGCGUCUCACCCAUACCUCGCCCUUA
rnacentral:rRNA from 1 species